AUACGGAGGGUGCAAGCGUUACUCGGAAUUACUGGGCGUAAAGCGCGCGUAGGCGGUUUGGUAAGUCUGAUGUGAAAUCCCGGGGCUCAACCUCGGACGUGCAUUGGAUACUGCCAGACUAGAGUGGAGGAGAGGAGAGUGGAAUUCCUGGUGUAGAGGUGAAAUUCGUAGAUAUCAGGAGGAACAACAGAGGCGAAGGCGACUCUCUGGACUCAAACUGACGCUGAGGUGCGAAAGCGUGGGUAGCAAACAGGAUUAGAUACCCUGGUAGUCCACGCCGUAGACGAUGGAUACUAGAUGUCGGGAAAACCUACCUUCUCGGUGUCGUAGCUAACGCAUUAAGUAUCCCGCCUGGGGAGUACGGCCGCAAGGUUAGAACUCAAAGAAAUUGACGGGGCCCGCACAAGCGGUGGAGGAUGUGGUUUAAUUCGAUGCAACGCGAAAAACCUCACCUGGGCUUGACAUCCCGUGCUACCCGGGGAAAACUCGGGGUUCUCUUCGGAGACGCGGUGACAGGUGCUGCA
rnacentral:rRNA from 1 species